CCCCUGCCUACAGCCUGUGACCCCUGCCUACAGCGUGACGCCCACCAUCCGGGGACAGCGACUGAGGGGACGCAGCCGGCCAGGCCCAUGUCCACCAUCCUGGCCCCACCAUCUGGGGACAGCGACUGAGGGGACACAGCCGGCCAGGCUUGUGUCCACUGUCCUGGCUGCGGAGUGGUGGGCUCCUCUACCUGCUUCCGCAGGGUGGGCCCUGGGAUGGGGCCUGUGCCGCCAGCCCUGCUGGAGUUGUAACAGCAGGGGUCCUCCCACAGGUCUGGGGUCCUCAGAGUCAUCCCCUGGGCAGGUGGAAGGGCAGUGGGGCCGCGUGCUGGCUGAGAGCAAGGGCCCUGUGUGGCUCGUGGGAGGCGGCGUCCUGGGUGGUCAGCCAGCCUCUGCCCCGGCGGGGAUGCUGCUUUGUCUUGCAGGUGGGCCUGGGUCCUCCAGGAUGCCCUGGGUAUCGCCUUCUGCCUCUACAUGCUGAAGACCAUCCGUCUGCCCACCUUCAAGGCCUGCACGCUGCUGCUGCUGGUGCUGUUCCUCUACGACAUCUUCUUCGUGUUCAUCACGCCCUUCCUGACCAAGAGUGGCAGCAGCAUCAUGGUGGAGGUGGCCACUGGGCCCUCGGACUCAGCCACCCGUGAGAAGCUGCCCAUGGUCCUGAAGGUGCCUAGGCUGAACUCCUCACCUCUGGCCCUGUGUGACCGGCCCUUCUCCCUCCUGGGUUUCGGAGACAUUUUGGUGCCAGGGCUGCUGGUGGCCUACUGCCACAGGUUUGACAUCCAGGUACAGUCCUCCAGGGUAUACUUCGUGGCCUGCACCAUCGCCUAUGGCGUUGGCCUCCUUGUGACAUUCAUGGCACUGGCCCUGAUGCAGCGUGGCCAGCCCGCUCUCCUCUACCUGGUGCCCUGCACGCUGGUGACGAGCUGCGCUGUGGCGCUCUGGCGCCGGGAGCUGGGCGUGUUCUGGACGGGCAGCGGCUUUGCGGUGAAUACCAGUUUGCUCUGACUGUGAAAAAUACUCGCCUAGUGAGCCCUAACUAGAGUUAAAAAAGUCCUACCUCCAUCUCCGUGGGCCCCAGCACCAGCCGACGGCCCGCAGCCUCCCAAAGACUCUGCCACGCCGCUCUCCCCGCAGCCGCCCAGCGAAGAACCAGCCACAUCCCCCUGGCCUGCUGAGCAGUCCCCAAAAUCACGCACGUCCGAGGAGAUGGGGGCUGGAGCCCCCAUGCGGGAGCCUGGGAUCCCAGCUGAACCCGAGGGCAGGGACCAGGCCCAGCCGUCCCCGGUAACCCAGCCUGGCGCCUCGGCCUAGGGGAGGGUGAGACGCUCGCUGCCGUGCCCGCCACACCAAGAUGUUGGGGCUGCCUGGUGCCCACUGGAGACAGACAGACAGACGCCUGUUCCCCAGGACCGAGGCCUGUGCCGUCCCCACCCGCCCCAACAUGGUGCUCAUCCUUGCCGAGACCCCUGCGGUCCGUGCCCGCGCCCAGCCCAGCUGCCCCGGCUGCACGCCUGCUGCUCCAAGCUCGCCCGGCUGCCACGAGCUCUCUGCGGGUCCAUCCUCCCCACCGGGGUCCGUCCUCGCAGGCCCUGCCCGGCCUCUCUGCAGACACUCAAGCGUCGUCUGCAUGAGUGAGCAGGUGUGGGUAGACUCUGGCCGCGGCCACAC
rnacentral:sRNA from 1 species